UGCAGUGGUUCUGGACAGGGUUGUUGUGGCUCACUCUCUACAGCUCCAGGGCAKUGUCUGUACAGGACUGAACUCUAACAGAAGAUUGGCAAGACCUGCUGGGAUAGAACAGGAGACUGGAAGUGAGAAGAAUGACAAAUCAGGUCUACACCUGCUCUUUAGGUCACAUCUCCCUUCAAAGAUGUGCUCACUGCUGGGAAACUGGAGGGACAUUUUUGGGAACCAAAAAAGCCACAUAGCAGCAAGACUAUGAAACUGCAAAAGGAGAUGGAACAACUUUUAACAACACCAURAAAGACACAGAAUGGGGCAUUUGGCCUCCCAAGACAGAUGAGCAAGAAUAUUUCCACCAGCAAAGGGACUCCAUAYUGGACUGCACCAUAUGGAGUUUGGUGAUCCUAUGGGUUUCUCUGACCUGUGCAGYUGGAAAGGCCCAAGAAGGACACAAUAAUUGAUUUUAUUUUACAUUCUAAAAAUCCUGCUGUUCCUUUCUGGUGAGUUUCCAUGAGCAUAUCGAGGUAAAUAGCAAGUGCAUAGUAAUUAUUUUCCAUCCAGGUGAAGCUUAAGUGUGUGUUCAUUAGACUGGCAGGACUGACUCCUUUAACAAUUAAGAAUAUGUUAGUCAUCUACUUGUACUGAUAAUUUCCAUGGAUAUAAGUCUCCUUCCUUUUCAUUUUUCCAGUGCAAAUACUAGAAUAUUAUAGGUCUUUAUCCUCUUAUCUAGCAGCUCCCCUUAGCACAAAAGAGUUGAMCUUUUCAACUACACUUGCUAAUCAGUGUGGAGUUCCUAAUGUUGACUCCUGGGGCUGAAGCAAACACACCAGCAGUUCCCUGGGGCUGUUUCACCCCCACCAUCUCCACAUUUGGCUCUGCUCUGAUUAGUCUGUAUCACUCUGCUGCAGUGGCUCUUUAAAGCCUGUCUUUACAGACAGAGCACUCCUAAAUACCUAGCAUGUUAAUUGGACUGAUUUAGCUGUGCUCAGCUGCUGUUACUUCUGGCAACACUUCUGUGYUGAGCAGGGUGCAAGAGCUUUUAAAAGCUGCUCACUUACUAUGAG